UACAGAGGUCUCAAGCGUUGUUCGGAUUCAUUGGGCGUAAAGGGUGUUGUAGGUGGCGCCGCUAAGUCGGGUGUGAAAUUUCGGAGCUUAACUCCGAAACUGCAUUCGAUACGUGCGGUGCUUGAGGACUGGAGAGGAGACUGGAAUUCAUGGUGUAGCAGUGAAAUGCGUAGAGAUCAUGAGGAAGACCAGUGGCGAAGGCGGGUCUCUGGACAGUUCCUGACACUGGAGACACGGAAGGCCAGGGGAGCAAACGGG
rnacentral:rRNA from 1 species